rnacentral:rRNA from 1 species
UUAGAGGGUUUCCGCCCUUUAGUGCUGAAGUUAACGCAUUAAGCACUCCGCCUGGGGAGUACGGCCGCAAGGCUGAAACUCAAAGGAAUUGACGGGGGCCCGCACAAGCGGUGGAGCAUGUGGUUUAAUUCGAAGCAACGCGAAGAACCUUACCAGGUCUUGACAUCCUCUGAAAACCCUAGAGAUAGGGCUUCUCCUUCGGGAGCAGAGUGACAGGUGGUGCAUGGUUGUCGUCAGCUCGUGUCGUGAGAUGUUGGGUUAAGUCCCGCAACGAGCGCAACCCUUGAUCUUAGUUGCCAUCAUUAAGUUGGGCACUCUAAGGUGACUGCCGGUGACAAACCGGAGGAAGGUGGGGAUGACGUCAAAUCAUCAUGCCCCUUAUGACCUGGGCUACACACGUGCUACAAUGGACGGUACAAAGAGCUGCAAGACCGCGAGGUGGAGCUAAUCUCAUAAAACCGUUCUCAGUUCGGAUUGUAGGCUGCAACUCGCCUACAUGAAGCUGGAAUCGCUAGUAAUCGCGGAUCAGCAUGCC